rnacentral:misc_RNA from 1 species
GAUGAAGAACGCAGCGAAAUGCGAUAAGUAAUGUGAAUUGCAGAAUUCAGUGAAUCAUCGAGUCUUUGAACGCACAUUGCGCCCCCUGGUAUUCCGGGGGGCAUGCCUGUCCGAGCGUCAUUGCCGCCCUCAAGCACGGCUUGUGUGUUGGGCCCCCGCCCCCCGGCUUCGGGGGGCGGGCCCGAAAGGCAGCGGCGGCACCGCGUCCGGUCCUCGAGCGUAUGGGGCUUCGUCACCCGCUCUGUAGGCCCGGCCGGCGCCCGCCGGCGACCCCAAUCAAUCUUUCCAGGUUGACCUCGGAUCAGGUAGGGAUACCCGCUGAGCUUAAGCAUAUCAAUAAGCGGAGGA